AGAGUUUGAUCAUGGCUCAGGACGAACGCUGGCGGCGUGCUUAAUACAUGCAAGUCGAGCGAGGUUACUGUUUUGGAUCCCUUCGGGGUGAAGAAGCUUUAACCUAGCGGCGGACGGGUGAGUAACGCGUGGGUAACCUACCCCAAAGUCCGGGAUAACAGCGGGAAACCGCUGCUAAUACCGGAUGUCUUUACCUUGGGGCAUCUUGAGGUAAAGAAAGGCAACGCUUUGGGAUGGGCCCGCGUCCCAUUAGCUAGUUGGUGAGGUAACGGCUCACCAAGGCGACGAUGGGUAGCCGGCCUGAGAGGGUGGACGGCCACACUGGGACUGAGACACGGCCCAGACUCCUACGGGAGGCAGCAGUAGGGAAUAUUGCGCAAUGGACGGAAGUCUGACGCAGCGACGCCGCGUGAGCGAUGAAGGUCUUCGGAUCGUAAAGCUCUGUCCUUGGGGAAGAAGGCGAAAGCUUGACGGUACCCAAGAAGAAAGCCCCGGCUAACUACGUGCCAGCAGCCGCGGUAAU
rnacentral:rRNA from 1 species